GAUGAACGCUAGCGGCAGGCCUAAUACAUGCAAGCCGAACGGCAAGAUUUUCAGCAAUGGAAAUCCUAGAGUGGCGCAAGGGUGCGUAACACGUAUGCAAUCUGCCCUCAACAGGAGGAUAGCUCCCCGAAAGGGGAAUUAAGACUCCAUAAGAUCUUAGAGUGGCAUCACUUAGAGAUUAAACUACCAGGGGUUGAGGAUGAGCAUGCGCAUGAUUAGUUAGUUGGCGGGGUAACGGCCCACCAAGACGAUGAUCAUUAGGGGGAACUGAGAGGUUGAUCCCCCACACUGGCACUGAGAUAC
rnacentral:rRNA from 1 species